rnacentral:rRNA from 1 species
AUGGUCACACCAACCGAUUCGCCGUUUUGGAAAGGACUGAUGAGAGUGAAAUCAGCAUUCUUCGAUAGGGCAAAAUUCAUUAUUGGUAGUGUUACUUCCAUGAGAUUCUGGGAGGAUACGUGGUUAGGGGAGAUGCCUCUAGCUACCCAAUAUCCUUCUCUCUAUAAUAUUGUUCAGCGUAGAGAUGCUUACGUUGCAACAGUACUACAGUCCAACCCUCUCAAUAUUCAAUUCAGGAGGACUUUAGUGGGGAACCAUGCUUGGAUCCAUCUUGUGAUAAGAUUGAUGGAUGUUUACCUAUCUCAACAGCCAGACCAGUUGCACUGGAAACUAACUCAAAAUGGAGUGUCUUCGGUAAAAUCCAUGUAUUUGGAUAUUAUUAACUCUGGCACUAUCCCUCGAUCUUUGCAUAUUUGGAAAGUCAAAGUGCCCUUAAAAAUUAAAGUAUUAAUGUGGUUUGUCCACAAGCAAGUCAUUCUUACUAAGGACAAUUUGGCAAAAAGUAACUGGACAGGAUCGCGAAGAUGUAGUUUCUGCAAACAUGAUGAAUCUGUCAAACACCUCUUUCUUGAUUGCCCAAUGGCAAAAAAAUUAUGGCGGUCUAUUCACAUAGCGUUUAACAUUAAUCCUACGAAUACCAUCCACACGUUAUUUGGGACGUGGCUGGAUGGAGUACAAUCAGAUACCACGAAACUUACUCGUGUAGGAGUAUGUGCUUUAUUAUGGGCCAUAUGGAAUUGCAGGAAAGAUUUGGUUUUUAACAGAACAUCACAUAUUCAUUUCUUGCAGGUUAUUUUUCAGGCCACUACACUGAUAUGUAUGUGGUCGCUACUCACUCCGAUGGAUGCCAAGGAGCAUAUGGUCACUAGGUCUAUCCGUUGGGAGACGGUAGCACGGGCUAUCUUCAACCGGUUUGGAUGGCGGUCAUGUAAUAGGAUAGGUGUCUAG